UGGGGAAUUUUGCACAAUGGGGGAAACCCUGAUGCAGCGACGCCGCGUGAUUUAGAAGGCCUUCGGGUUGUAAAAAUCUUUUGUAUAGGAAGAAAAUGACAGUACUAUACGAAUAAGGACCGGCUAAUUACGUGCCAGCAGCCGCGGUAAUACGUAAGGUCCGAGCGUUGUCCGGAAUCAUUGGGCGUAAAGGGUACGUAGGCGGGUAAGCAAGUUAGAAGUGAAAUCCUGUAGCUCAACUACAGUAAGCUUUUAAAACUGCUCAUCUUGAGAUAUGGAAGGGAAAGUGGAAAUCCUAGUGUAGCGGUGAAAUGCGCUGAUAUUAGGAGGAAUACCGGUGGCGAAGGCGACUUUCUGGCCAUAAUCUGACGCUGAGGUACGAAAGCGUGGGUAGCAAACAGG
rnacentral:rRNA from 1 species